rnacentral:rRNA from 1 species
CGGCGGACGGCUCAGGACAACGGUUGGAAGCCGAGCGGCGGUCACAGCUAGCCGGACACCGCUGGCAACCCGGCGCCAAGACGUGUGCGCAAGUGCGAGAGCCCGGGGGCGAGCAGCGUGACGCAG